AUUCCUACGGGAGGCAGCAGUGAGGAAUAUUGGUCAAUGGACGGAAGUCUGAACCAGCCACUUCGCGUGCAGGAUGACUGCCCUAUGGGUUGUAAACUGCUUUUAUAUAAGAGGAACAGUAUUUAUGUAUAGAUAUUUGCCAGUAUUAUAUGAAUAAGGAUCGGCUAACUCCGUGCCAGCAGCCGCGGUAAUAAU
rnacentral:rRNA from 1 species